rnacentral:rRNA from 1 species
UAUGGUAAUUGGCAGCAGCCGCGGUAAUACGGAAGGUCCGGGCGUUAUCCGGAUUUAUUGGGUUUAAAGGGAGCGUAGGCCGGAGAUUAAGCGUGUUGUGAAAUGUAGACGCUCAACGUCUGCACUGCAGCGCGAACUGGUUUCCUUGAGUACGCACAAAGUGGGCGGAAUUCGUGGUGUAGCGGUGAAAUGCUUAGAUAUCACGAAGAACUCCGAUUGCGAAGGCAGCUCACUGGAGCGCAACUGACGCUGAAGCUCGAAAGUGCGGGUAUCGAACAGG